GAUGAACGCUGGCGGCGUGCCUAAUACAUGCAAGUCGGACGGAGCGCUUCGGCGCUCAGUGGCGAACGGGUGAGUAGCACAUGGGCAACCUGCCCUUCAGAGGGGGACAACAGCUGGAAACGGCUGCUAAGACCGCAUAGGCGCGGACACUGCAUGGUGACCGUAUUAAAAGUGCCUCAAAGCACUGGUAGAGGAUGGACUUAUGGCGCAUUAGCUGGUUGGCGGGGUAACGGCCCACCAAGGCGACGAUGCGUAGCCGACCUGAGAGGGUGACCGGCCACACUGGGACUGAGACACGGCCCAG
rnacentral:rRNA from 1 species